CUGCAUUUCACCGUGAGCAAGCAACAACUUUCUCGUAGUGGGUGAAACACAAAGUCGUGCGAUUCCCACGCCGUCACCUACCCCAAAUUUGCCACAUAAUCACAGGCACCCGCCAAAGCACCAAACUUUCUUUCCCACGCUUUGGACUCUUUCUGGUUUCCAUAGCUCUCUCUGUCUCUCUGUCUCUCUCUCUCUGGUGGGAAAAGAAAGCAAAAGAAGGGGAGGAGAGAGAUUUUCGAUCAAAUUCUCAGAUCUCUCUCUGCACGAGUUCAAGACCUUUAAUCGCUUUAUCAAAUAACCAAAAUGGGCCAGAAAUCGUUGAUCUACUCAUUCGUUUCAUGUGGAAAUGUGAUUCUUGCUGAGUACACAGAAUUCAGUGGCAAUUUCAAUUCCAUAGCGUUUCAGUGCCUCCAGAGGCUCCCUGCCACCAACAAUAAGUUUACUGACAACUGCGAUGCCCACUCCUUCAAUUACCUCGUCGACAAUGGCUACAGUGAGUCUUUUAAAAUUACUAUUUUAUGUUUGUUUCCCGAGAAAUUAAAGAAUCGAAUGAAGUGUAAUUUUUGUAAAUUAAUUUUAAGAAACAUAAUUAAAAUUUAUUUAAAAUAAAUUCUAUGUUUGUGAUGGAUUUGAAUGAAAGAUUAUGUCAAAUUGCCACAAGAAAUCCCUACCCACUGUUUUCGUUGUCUUAAAUCCAAAACCUGUUUUCUUUCUUUCCUCGCGUUUCCUAUGAAACCCUCUCCUCUUUCUUCUUCCAUAAUUUUAUUUCUUUCUAUGAUAAAUAAUUUCUCUCUGGUCUCUGCACCAGUUUAUCUCUCGUUCUGUGGUCAUCUCUCGUUCUCGGUUCUUUAGCCAUGGGACGUGGUAGAAAGCGGCAGCAACCGGAGUUAACCCUUGAUAUGUC
rnacentral:misc_RNA from 1 species